rnacentral:lncRNA from 1 species
CGCAUGCGUGCUCCGCCAUUCGGGCCUGCUGCGGACGGACGGCGAGCGGGCCGCGAUCUCCCAGCAGUCCCGGCCCUCCGACGCCGGCCCGACGGGCGAGCGGGCCGCGGUCAUCCGGCGGCCUGGGCCCUCAGUUGGCCAACCCGAGGGGGCGGGCGGCGAGCUGCGCCGGCGGUGGGGCACUUGGGCAGGAAAGGUGCCCGUGGCAGAGGCGGAGGACAGGGAAGCGCAGCCGGGGCGCCCUGCGGGCCGGGGCUGAGUGUGUGUGCACGGGCGUGUGCCACGUUCACUACACUCGUCGUCCCGCGCCGGGAAGGCGCCGGGGCACCCUGCGCAAGCUGGAGUGGCCAGGCGCCUGGGCACCGAAAGUUAGCCAGGACGUCCGGCUUGCACGGAGGGAGCCACCCGGAAGCCAGUGUUGCUGCGGUGUGAUUUUUCUUAGGGACAGAAGUGAGCAUCGUGACUCCCAUUGUACAGGGGCUUGUUGAACGAGGUGGAGUCACUCGCCUAAGACAACGCCAGAUCUGCAGCCUGAGCUUCCCCCACGUGGUCUCCACCCGCACCAUCGCCAUGUCCCUCGUCUAAGUCUAUGCCCAGAUCCCACACCAGCUCCCUCCAGCCCUCGUGUGUCCUGGACUCUACUUUAUUCACCUGCACCCAGGAUCGAGGCAGAAGUACCUAUUUCAACUCUGAUUCCAGCAGCAGAAGAUGUGCUCACUCCUCACAUGAGACACAUUCUUCAUGGACCAGCAAUUCAACGAGGUUCGUUUUUCAUUGUAUGGCUUAAGGGCUUCGCAUUGGUGGGAAGCUGUGUUCGGUCACAACAGGAACUGCCCAGCACGUUCGUCCUGUGGCUGCAGACUCAUCACCAGCCAGUUCCUGGGAAAAGGUGAUAAACUCUCUUGGAAGGGACACAUAUAUCUCUUCUGACACAGCUACAUGGACUCUUCUCCAAACUCUGCAGCCAUCCUCCCCAUUCAGUGAAAUAAAGUGUAGAUUUACUGUAUUUAAUUGCACUCAAUAAAUCUUCUGAAUUUCCGUUUCCAGAAAAUGUCCCCAGGCAGCAUGGAGUAUGAACUUCAGUGACAUAAACUAUCUUUCCCGAAGUAUGACCUAUGUGUAUACUUCCACUUACAUAAAUAAAAACACACCACGUGUUCUGGUAUUCCAUAGGAAUGUCACCCUGUGGUAAUUUUGCAGGCCCACUGGCCUUCAGCCUUGACGAAUAGCUUCAGUUCAUUCUUCCAGGAAAUUGGAGAAGCUGUUUUCAUUCCGUGUUGGGAGCAGGAGUCUGAUCAUUUUUCUCCUGUGUAGAUAACAUAUAAAAAUGUUCUUAAUUGUC